GACGAACGCUGGCGGCGUGCUUAACACAUGCAAGUCGAACGGAAAGGCCCUGCUUUUGUGGGGUGCUCGAGUGGCGAACGGGUGAGUAACACGUGAGUAACCUGCCCUUGACUUUGGGAUAACUUCAGGAAACUGGGGCUAAUACCGGAUAGGAGCUCCUGCUGCGCGGUGGGGGUUGGAAAGUUUCGGCGGUAGGGGCUGGACUCGCUGCUUAUCAGCUUGUUGGGGUGGUAGUUGAUUACCAAGGCUUUGAAGGGUAGGCGGCCUGGGAGGGUGGACAGCCACCAUGGGCCUGCGAGACGGCCCAGACUGCUAUGGGCGGCAGCAGUGGGGAAUAUUGCACAACGGGCGGAAGUCUGAUGCAGCAGCGCCGCGUGCGGGAUGACGGCCUUCGGGUUGUAAACCGCUUUCGCAUGUGACGAAGCGUGAGUGACGGUAAUGGGUAAAGAAGCACCGGCUAACUACGUG
rnacentral:rRNA from 1 species